UACGGAGGGGGCUAGCGUUGUUCGGAAUUACUGGGCGUAAAGCGCGCGUAGGCGGACCUGCAAGUCGGGGGUGAAAUCCCCGGGCUCAACCUGGGAAUGGCAUUUGGGACUGCAAGGCUGGAGUGCGGCAGAGGAGACUGGAAUUCCUGGUGUAGCAGUGAAAUGCGUAGAUAUCAGGAGGAAUACCGAUGGCGAAGGCAGGUCUCUGGGCUGACACUGACGCUCAUGCACGAAAGCGUGGGGAGCAAACAGG
rnacentral:rRNA from 1 species